GACAGCUUAGCAAAGUGGUUACUGCGAUUGAUUAGAAAUCAAUUCCUCUCUGAGGGCACAGGUUCGAGUCCUGUAGUUGUCG
rnacentral:tRNA from 1 species